GGAGGGGUUCCCGAGCGGCCAAAGGGAACAGACUGUAAAUCUGUCGGCUCACGCCUUCGUAGGUUCGAAUCCUACCCCCUCCA
rnacentral:tRNA from 1 species